AAAAUUAUUUUUUAACAAUAAAUCUAAUAUCAAUCAUAAUAGGGUAGAUCACACAAAAAUAAUAAAUACUAAUUUUCUUUUUUGUGAAAUUUUCAAAAUACAAAAAGUUGUUAAAGUAAAAAGAGAAAGAAAAAGAAAAAAAAGAGAGACAAAAGUUAUAAUAAUAUAAAGAAUUGUGUGUGGACCAUAUUGAUAAAUUUAUAUUAAAAUAAUAAAUUUUGGAUAAGAAACGUGUGGAAGUAAAUGAAAUCAAAGUAAUAAGUAUGAUAUUGAGAUUGGUUUAAUUAAUUUUAUAUUUUAAAUUAAUAAAUGAUUAGUUAAUGCAGAGAAAGAGCAUGCAAUGGUAGUUUUCUCUCAUCAUCAAUUGCAAUCUAAGUUCUCAACGAUACCGUUUCACAUGAAGCUUGAUGAUCAUAAUGAUACUGAUGAGAUUGAGAAGAUGAUGAAGAAAGGGUAUUCAUCCAACACGAGACUUUUCGUUCAGGUCGACCAACUCACUUAAAUUCGGAAAAGAAGUAAGAACCGCAUGUAAUAUGUGAUAUGAAUAUGCGAUUGUAUGUAUGUGUUAAUGUAUAUGCAUACUUGUUAUGAUUGCUACACUACUAACACUUGUACGGAAACGGUAUAGAGUGCACUGGUAUAGUGCAUAUUGUUUAAAGAGUACAUUAAGCUGUUACCAGCACAAGUACGAGAAAGUAGAGGGUGUGUGUGGUAUAUAUAUCACUUAGUAGUACUCAAGGUACGAAACAAACCCUACCAACACUCGUGCAAUUACGUACGUAGUGUAUGUGAUACAGUGCCUGUACCCUAGUAUGAAACGUUCUUAUUACUCAUCUGUUAAGCCUUGUAAAUAGGUGUAUGGGCACCUAGAUACAAGUCGUUAUUAUGUGAUAUGUUAUAUGUUUGUCUUCAAUUUUAUGUUGGAUGUAAUAAUACAUGUGUGUAGCUAGCUUACAAAUCAAAUAAUUUUAUUAAUAAUGAAAAUUGGUUAGUUGAGUGUGUC